rnacentral:lncRNA from 1 species
UUCUUCAACAAAUCAACAAAAUAUACUAAUUGAAGCACAAAAUAUCUCAAUUAAGGGUGGUAUUUAAGGCAUUGAAUUGGAUUUAAAUACUAACUAAAGUAUUUUAAUUGAAAUUGUGGUUAUUCAAAGGAAAAAAAUGAAAACAACGGAUCGAUUGUGUGAAAACACGGAGGGUGAUAAUUUACAUUCAAUCAUGAUACAACAUGAAGGUAGAUGAAAUAUCACAAGUGUUUUUUUAUGUAUUCAAUCAUAAUUUCUCAAAUAAUUUUGAUAUUUAUAGCGAGAAAUUCGAUUAUAAUACUAACUUAAGUAUUUUAAUUGAAGCUGAAGUUAUUCAAAAUGAAAAAAAAUGAAAAAGAAAAAAUGAUUUUCUCAUAAUAUGGAUGGUGAUAAUUACAUUCAAUCAUACAACAUGGAGGAAGCUGGAAUAUCACAUAUAAUUUCAAUCUUUUUCAAUGUUUAAAUUCUUCAAAUUCCAUACAUAAAAUUAUGUUGAUUUGAUUAUAUUUUAUUUGUUUUGUAUUGAUUUAGAAAAGUACACAUGUGAAUUUCAAAUUCGAAGAAAUUGUUUAUUAUUAAAAAACGCAAUACAAUGACCCGAUCAAUGUGAUUGCAUUUUGGUGUGCAGGUGUAUUUAAAUCAAGGAAAGGUGAAUAGAAAUUUCUUCAUCAAGUAUCCAUUGUGUAUAAUGUUGAGGAAUGUGACUAUGGAUGUAAUAGUGUAGUGUCGAAUUCAUUGUUGAUGAAAAUAGUUUACAUUCAAUUAAAGAAAUUCGGGAGAUAAAAGAUCUAUAUUAAAAUAAUUGCUUGGGGCCAAAACAAUAAUCACUAAAAUGUAGAAGAUCUACCAAUUCAACCGUUAAACAUAAUGUGAUUAGUUGUUUUUGUUUCACCAUUAAGAUGCACAUUGAUUGUAUUGUAUUGUAUUGUAUUAAAGAGGUAUAUAAAUUCGUAUUGUAUGGAAAAGGUAUAUAAAUAGAUGUCCCAUAUAAUAUGAUUAGUUAUUUCGUAUUGUAUGAAAAGAGUAUUUAAAAAAGAUACUUCAUGACGUGAUUAGUUAUUUCAUGUUUCAUGAAAAUUGUAUCGAAAUUGAUAUCAUGCAGUUGUAG